rnacentral:rRNA from 1 species
GACGAACGCUGGCGGCGUGCUUAACACAUGCAAGUCGAACGGAGUGAAUGAAAGCUUGCUUUUAUAAGCUUAGUGGCAAACGGGUGAGUAACACGUAGACAACCUGCCGACAGGAAGGGGACAACAUUCCGAAAGGAAUGCUAAUACCGAAUGAAGUGCAGGGGAGGCAUCUCCCCUGCAUGAAAGAUGGCCUCUAUAUAUAAGCUAUCACCUGUUGAUGGGUCUGCGUCUGAUUAGCUGGUAGGUGAGGUAACGGCUCACCUAGGCGACGAUCAGUAGCCGGUCUGAGAGGAUGAACGGCCACGUUGGGACUGAGACACGGCCCAGACUCCUACGGGAGGCAGCAGUGGGGAAUCUUCCGCAAUGGGCGCAAGCCUGACGGAGCAACGCCGCGUGAGUGAAGAAGGUCUUCGGAUCGUAAAGCUCUGUUGAUGGGGACGAACGUGCCUAAUGCGAAUAGUUUUAGGCAAGGACG